rnacentral:rRNA from 1 species
AUGUUUGCUCGUGCCUCGGGGGCAUCUCAAUUCUGGAAAAACCUUGUUAAACUCAGGUCCUUUUUUCAAGGCCUCGUCAAAUUCGUUGUCCGCAAUGGUAGAUCCACCAGAUUCUGGCUCGAUUGGUGGUGCGGACCUUCUUCGCUGGCUAUUGCUUUCCCUGUUCUUUUUUCUUACCCUGAGAUCUCUAUUUUUGUGCUCGUGUCGAAUAAUUGGGAUCUGCGUCUGCGUUGCUCUCUCGCUCCUGUAGAGUUGGAAGACUGGCAGCGUCUUGUUGCUCUCUUCCCUUCGCUCUCGGAGGAGGAAGACACGGUCGUUUGGCCCCAUUCCCCUUCUGGUCGGUUCUCGGUUAAAUCCUUAUAUGGCAAACUCAUUGCUGGGUCCAUCACUUCCAAAUUCAAAUGGACCUGGAGGGCUCGUAUUCCUCCUAAGGUCAAGGUUUUCCUCUGGCAAGCCUCUCGUGGGCGUCUGCCGAUGGGUGACCAAAUUUGCAAGCGCAAUGGCCCGGGAUCUGAUAGAUGUGCUUUAUGUGGGUUGAGAGAAGACUUGUCACAUAUUUUCUUCAACUGUGUGUUGGCUAAGCUGUUCUGGUGCUGUAUCAGAUCAUGGAUGCAUGUCUCCUGGGCUCCGACCUCCUUUUCUGACCUGCGCAUCUUGGCCAAUUCUUUGGUUGGGGCCCAGAGGAGAUUGUUUUGGGUGGGCUUCGCAGCCAUGUGCUGGUCUCUUUGGACGAUAAGGAAUAAAUUUACUAUCGAACAUGUUUUCCCUGCUAAGCCUGCUGAUUGCUUAUUUAAGACUUGUAUAUUCCUGCAGCAAUGGAGAUUAUUGACUAAGGAGGAGGAUAGGGACGCCCUUGACGCCACGUUGUCCAAGAUCCAAAAUUCUGCCAUCUCCAUCUCCCCAGUUCAAGCAGGCACUUAG